rnacentral:lncRNA from 1 species
UGGGGAUGCCCUACUACACUAAAGGAAGUGGGAGUCUGCUAAGUAAUCCCUAGGAAAGGGUAUGCCCUAACAAAAUUGAAGGAAGUUGGUUGGUCUAAACAAACUCUAGGAAAGGGAAUGAAUUGAAAAUCUCCAUGAAGAUGGAUGACCUAAGAAACUGAAGGAAGGGUGAUGGACUAAAGUAAAUCAAGGUAGUUUGAUAGCCCAAUGAAUAGGAAUGUCCUAAAAAAAAUAGAGGAAUGGGAAUACCCUAAUAGCACUUGAGGAAAGAGGAUGCCCUCAAUAAACUCAAUGAAGGGGAAUACCCUAAACAAACUUAAGGAAGGGGAUGCCCAAAAACAAUUCAAGGAAGGAGGAUGUCCUGAACAUACUCAAGGAAUAGGGCAUACCCUUAAACAAACUCAAGAAAGGGGGAUGUGCUAAACAUACUCAAGGAUGUGGGCAUAACCUAAACAAAUGCAAGGAAUUGCUACAAAGAAACUAUGGGAUGGGUAGGAGGAGAUGCCUUAAUAACAUUGAAGAAAAUGGGAUGAUCUAAACAUAGAUUAGGAUGGUGGAUGCCAUAAAUUAACUGAAUGAAGGGGGACGCCUUAAACAAAAUAAUGGCAAAAGAUGCCUUAAUAAGACUCGAUGAAAUCACAUUCCCUAAAUGAACUCAAAGAAGGUCCAUGCAUUAAAGAAACAAAAAAGAUGAGGUUGCCCUAUAUAAACUCAACGAUGGAGGAUGCCCUAAAACAACUCAAAAAAAGGCAUUGCCAUUAGGAACUUCAUGGAAGGGGAAUGCGCUAAGAAGACUCAAGGAUGGGGGUUCCCUUAAACAUAAUCAAAUGAGGGGAUGCCAUAAGUAACUCUAAGAAUUAGGUUGCCCUAAACAAACUCUAGGCAGGGGGAUGCACUAAAAAAAUUCUCAAGGAAGAGGGCACAAACACUAAACAAACUCGAGGAAUAGAUAUUCUAUAAAGAAACUAAGGGAUAGUGGGACGUCUUAAUAAGACUCAAGGAAGGGGGAUGCCUUAAACAAAGAUAUGGAGGGAGAAUGUUGCAAACAAACUCAAAGAAGUGAUGUGCUAACAAGACUCAAUGAAGGGGGAUGCGCUAAUGAAACUCAAAGAAGGGGGAUUCUCUUAACAAAAUUUGGGAAGGGGAUGUCAUUAACAAACUCAAGGAAGGGGGAUGCUCUAAACAAACUCUUGGAAAGGGAAUGAAUUACAAAAUUUCCAUGAAAAAGAAUGACCUAAGAAACUAAAGCAAGGGUGACGCCCUAAUGUAACUCAAGGGAGUGGGAUGGCCUAAGGAAACUCAAGGAACAUGGAUGCAUAAAACAAACUAAAGGAAGGGGGAUGCCCUAUUAAAACUC